rnacentral:rRNA from 1 species
UACGAAGGGGGCUAGCGUUGUUCGGAUUUACUGGGCGUAAAGCGCACGUAGGCGGAUUGUUAAGUCAGGGGUGAAAUCCUGGAGCUCGACUCCAGAACUGCCUUUGAUACUGGCAAUCUUGAGUCCGGAAGAGGUGAGUGGAACUCCUAGUGUAGAGGUGGAAUUCGUAGAUAUUAGGAAGAACACCAGUGGCGAAGGCGGCUCACUGGUCCGGUACUGACGCUGAGGUGCGAAAGCGUGGGGAGCAAACAGG